rnacentral:tRNA from 1 species
GUCCUGAUAGCUCAGCUGGAUAGAGCAUCAGAUUCCUAAUCUGAAGGUCAUGCGUUCGAAUCGCAUUCAGGAUACCA